rnacentral:rRNA from 1 species
UACGUAGGUUGCAAGCGUUGUCCGGAUUUACUGGGUGUAAAGGGCGUGUAGGCGGAGAUACAAGUCAGAAGUGAAAUCCCGGGGCUCAACCCCGGAACUGCUUUUGAAACUGUAUCCCCUUGAGUAUCGGAGAGGCAGGCGGAAUUCCUAGUGUAGCGGUGAAAUGCGUAGAUAUUAGGAGGAACACCAGUGGCGAAGGCGGCCUGCUGGACGACAACUGACGCUGAGGCGCGAAAGCGUGGGGAGCAAACAGG